UGGUAAUGCCGGAUGCUCCAGUUGACCGCAUGGUCCUCUGGGAAAGCUUUUGCGGUAUGGGAUGGGGUCGCGUCCUAUCAGCUUGAUGGCGGGGUAACGGCCCACCAUGGCUUCGACGGGUAGCCGGCCUGAGAGGGCGACCGGCCACAUUGGGACUGAGAUACGGCCCAGACUCCUACGGGAGGCAGCAGUGGGGAAUAUUGCACAAUGGGCGCAAGCCUGAUGCAGCGACGCCGCGUGCGGGAUGACGGCCUUCGGGUUGUAAACCGCUUUUGACUGGGAGCAAGCCCUUCGGGGUGAGUGUACCUUUCGAAUAAGCACCGGCUAACUACGUGCCAGCAGCCGCGGUAAUACGUAGGGUGCAAGCGUUAUCCGGAAUUAUUGGGCGUAAAGGGCUCGUAGGCGGUUCGUCGCGUCCGGUGUGAAAGUCCAUCGCUUAACGGUGGAUCCGCGCCGGGUACGGGCGGGCUUGAGUGCGGUAGGGGAGACUGGAAUUCCCGGUGUAACGGUGGAAUGUGUAGAUAUCGGGAAAGAACACCA
rnacentral:rRNA from 1 species